rnacentral:rRNA from 1 species
AAGAGUUUGAUCCUGGCUCAGGACGAACGUUGGCGGCGUGCUUAACACAUGCAAGUCGAGCGGUUGAGAGGUGGGAGUUGAGAAGUUAGAAGUGGGAGAAAGAUCGUGGAUAAUCUGCCUGUAAGACAGGGAUAACGCCGGGAAACCGGUGCUAAUACCCGAUAACCUCUUUGGACCGCAUGGUCUGAAGAGAAAAGGUGGCCUCUUUACAAUGCUACCACUUACAGAUGAAUCCGCGUCCCAUUAGCCAGUUGGUGGGGUAAUGGCCUACCAAAGCGACGAUGGGUAGCCGGCCUGAGAGGGUGACCGGCCACACUGGAACUGAGAUACGGUCCAGACUCCUACGGGAGGCAGCAGUGGGGAAUCUUCCGCAAUGGGCGAAAGCCUGACGGAGCAACGCCGCGUGAGCGAAGAAGGUUUUCGGAUUGUAAAGCUCUGUGAUAUUGGACGAACGAUUUCCCGUAAAUAAUGGGAAAGAAUGACGGUACAAUAAGAGGAAGCCACGGCUAACUACGUAGGUGGCAAACGUUGUCCGGAAUUACUGGGCGUAAAGGGCGAGUAGGUGGUUUAUUAAGUCAGAAGUGAAAACUCCAGGCUCAACUUGGAGACUGCUUCUGAAACUGGUAGACUUGAGUGCAAGAGAGGGAAGUGGAAUUCCUAGUGUAGCGGUGAAAUGCGUAGAUAUUAGGAGGAACACCAGUGGCGAAGGCGACUUCCUGGCUUGUAACUGACACUGAGGCGCGAAAGCGUGGGGAUCAAACAGGAUUAGAUACCCUGGUAGUCCACGCCGUAAACGAUGAGUGCUAGGUGUUGGAGAUAUCAACUCCCCCUGUGCCGGAAAGCGCAAUAAGUAUCCCGCCUGGGGACUACGGCCGCAAGGUUAAAACUCAAAGGAAUUGACGGGGCCCCGCACAAGCAGCGGAGCGUGUGGUUUAAUUCGAUGUUACACGAAGAACCUUACCUACCUUUAGAACUUGACAACGUCUGAAUUACUCUUAAUCGAGGAAGCCUUUCGGGGCAGAUAGACAGGUGCUGCAUGGCUGUCGUCAGCUCGUGUCGUGAGAUGUUGGGUUAAGUCCCGCAACGAGCGCAACCCUUAUCUUUAGUUGCCAUCAUUCAGUUGGGCAACUCUAAAGAGACUGCCGGUGUCAAACCGGAGGAAGGUGGGGAUGACGUCAAGUCCUCAUGGCCUUUAUGACCAGGGCUACACACGUACUACAAUGGCAUAAACAAAGGGCAGCAACACAGCGAUGUGAAGCCAAUCCCGUAAACCAUGUCUCAGUCCGGAUUGGAGUCUGCAACUCGACUCCAUGAAGUUGGAAUCGCUAGUAAUCGCGGAUCAGCCAUGGCGCGGUGAAUACGUUCCCGGGCCUUGUACACACNNNNNNNNNNNNNNNNNNNNNNNNNNNNNNNNNNNNNNNNNUAUCCUACCCGUAAGGAGGGAGCCGUCGAAGGUGAGAUCAAUGACUGGGGUGAAGUCGUAACAAGGUAACA